rnacentral:rRNA from 1 species
AGAGUUUGAUCCUGGCUCAGGAUGAACGCUGACAGAAUGCUUAACACAUGCAAGUCUACUUGAACUUCGGUUUGGGUGGCGGACGGGUGAGUAACGCGUAAAGAACUUGCCUCACAGUUAGGGACAACAUUUGGAAACGAAUGCUAAUACCUGAUAUUAUGAUUUUAGGGCAUCCUAAGAUUAUGAAAGCUAUAUGCGCUGUGAGAGAGCUUUGCGUCCCAUUAGCUAGUUGGAGAGGUAACGGCUCACCAAGGCGAUGAUGGGUAGCCGGCCUGAGAGGGUGAACGGCCACAAGGGGACUGAGACACGGCCCUUACUCCUACGGGAGGCAGCAGUGGGGAAUAUUGGACAAUGGACCAAAAGUCUGAUCCAGCAAUUCUGUGUGCACGAUGACGUUUUUCGGAAUGUAAAGUGCUUUCAGUUGGGAAGAAAAAAAUGACGGUACCAACAGAAGAAGUGACGGCUAAAUACGUGCCAGCAGCCGCGGUAAUACGUAUGUCACAAGCGUUAUCCGGAUUUAUUGGGCGUAAAGCGCGUCUAGGUGGUUAUGUAAGUCUGAUGUGAAAAUGCAGGGCUCAACUCUGUAUUGCGUUGGAAACUGUAUAACUAGAGUACUGGAGAGGUAAGCGGAACUACAAGUGUAGAGGUGAAAUUCGUAGAUAUUUGUAGGAAUGCCGAUGGGGAAGCCAGCUUACUGGACAGAUACUGACGCUAAAGCGCGAAAGCGUGGGUAGCAAACAGGAUUAGAUACCCUGGUAGUCCACGCCGUAAACGAUGAGUGCUAAGU